rnacentral:rRNA from 1 species
GGAGGGGGCGAGCGUUAUUCGGAAUUAUUGGGCGUAAAGGGCGCGUAGGUGGCCCUGUAAGUCAAAGGUGAAAUCCCUCGGCUCAACCGAGGAAUUGCUCUUGAAACUGCAGGGCUUGAGGCCGGGAGGGGGUAGCGGAAUUCCCAGUGUAGCGGUGAAAUGCGUAGAUACUGGGAGGAACACCGGUGGCGAAGGCGGCUACCUGGACCGGUUCUGACACUGAUGCGCGAAAGCGUGGGUAGCAAACAGGAUUAGAUACCCUGGUAGUCCACGCUGUAAACGAUGGGUGCUCGGUGUCGCGGGUAUCGACCCCUGCGGUGCCUUAGCUAACGCGUUAAGCACCCCGCCUGGGGAGUACGGUCGCAAGGCUG